AUCAUGUUUUAGUGGUCUGAAUUUCUACCAAGGAUAUUUUUACAAACUUCGUUCCAUCUAAAAAAGCUUAUAGCCGCCAUCUUUCUACUAUUGUUAAGACAUUGCCAAAUAGAAAGCCUCUGAAGCAUUGAAGAUGUUUGAUAAGGCAUUCUCCAGAGCUCUAAGUAACCUCCUUUUAUUGCCUUUGGUUAUCUUCUUUACACUGGACGAAAAACAAACUAAAUAGUUCGCAAAGCUGUAAAUUUAAGCUGUCAAUACGAUGUCAAUUCUGAAAAUAUAGCAUAUUAUCCUAGUCAGAUGGCAAGUCUAGCUGAGAAUCCACAGAUAUGCUAUACUGGCACUGCUGCUUCUUUUACUGCCAGCUCCGUGCUUGCGUCCUCCUCGUUCUGGCAACCUGUGCCAUUGCCGGCUACGCUGGCUACCCAGUCGGCUACUCUGUCGCUGCUCCCGCCUACGCUGCCUAUCAUGCUCCACUAGCCUCGGUGUCUACCGUUCACCAUGCUUCCGGUCUUGGCUAUGGUGUUCCCGCCUAUGGCUUUGGAAUCGGCAGUUUCGGACUCACCUAUGGGCAUGGUCUAGGUGGUCUCGGCUACAGCACCUUCCUCCGUAAGAAAUAAACUCAACACCGGCAAACCAGUGACUGUGGCAAGAAGGCUUGUUAUAAUAUCCGAGUUGAAAUAAAUCGCUAUCCAAUA